AUAAUUAUAUUUUGCUCUCAGUUACGUGGAGUUUGGUUUCUGACAUUCGGUGUUGAUUAUUGGAACUGGAAUGUUUUGUGGAAAUGUCACAUCGUGGCACCUUUCAACAUUACAGUGAAUGAGAUGAAUAUGUACACGUACAAUAUUCCUAAAGAUAAAUCGGAGGCUCCACAUACCGUAAUAACAGCCAGCAAGCGGGAUUCUUUGGGCCAAUAUUGGAUGCAAACACACACCGGACAGACCUGGUUUCACUCACAUCCGCAUCUUUGCUCAACCGAUUACUCUACAUUCUACAAAUAAAAGAUUUGCACACCCCUGCAUUAGCUCAUUACUGGUAGAAAGCGAUGUUUCAAUUCCAGACGUAUUAAAAAUAGACAAUUAUGACAAUUGUAAACAGUCUCAGUGCAGUUCACAUAUAAAUAUUUGCUUUUGGAUUAAUUAAACCUGUUUAUCAAGGCAUAUUGGCGAUGAAUUUAAUUUCUUGCUGCACUGAAGAAUUCACACAAGCGCAAUUUUCAGUUUUAUCGGUUUAGACGCCCGCGCUUAGAGAGGCAUCAGGCAACCUCGUUGUCCGGCCUGACAAUGUGCCUGUGAUGUUUUUUAUUUCUCUAAUAUCAUACUUAUCGCCAACCAGGUGCACAUUCUGACUACUGUCAAUUUCGUUUUGUAUUAUCACUUACACUUAGUGACGUACCUGCUACUCAUUCUCACUCUAAGUCCUGGAUUCCUACCCGUCCUGGUUAUGAACUCCAUUGCUCAGCAUUAUCUCACUACUUCUCUCGCGUUUCUUGUCCUUUUUAACGCGUCGACUUGCUUUUUCCACUCGAUUAUAUUUUCUUUUUUAACCUG